rnacentral:rRNA from 1 species
UGGGGAAUUUUGGACAAUGGGCGCAAGCCUGAUCCAGCCAUGCCGCGUGCGGGAAGAAGGCCUUCGGGUUGUAAACCGCUUUUGUCAGGGAAGAAAUCCUUUGAGCUAAUACCUCGUGGGGAUGACGGUACCUGAAGAAUAAGCACCGGCUAACUACGUGCCAGCAGCCGCGGUAAUACGUAGGGUGCAAGCGUUAAUCGGAAUUACUGGGCGUAAAGCGUGCGCAGGCGGUUAUGCAAGACAGAUGUGGAAUCCCCGGGCUCAACCUGGGAGCUGCGUUUGUGACUGCAUAGCUGGAGUGCGGCGGAGAGGGAUGGAAUUCCGCGUGUGGCAGUGAAAUACGUGGAUAUGCGGGGGAAAACCGAUGGCGAGGGCGAUCCCCUGGGCCUGCACUGACGCUCAUGCACGAAAGCGUGGGGAGCAAACA